UGUGAGCUGUGAGCAACCCG
rnacentral:misc_RNA from 1 species